UUUGUGUUGAUUUAUGAUUAACAACAGAAAAUACAAUACUUCAACAAAUUAGUUUUUUCAAUUAAAAGUUAUGAAAAAUCUCCUAUGAAAUGGUUCAUCUAAAUCUAAUUCCCUGCACGAUGCCUGUUGAAAUGAAAAACUGAAGAAACUUUAAAACUAGAUAAUGGCAACUGAAGAAGUUGAAACACCGUUAUUCAUGGUGUCAUAUCGAGGCUUCAGUCUCCAUUUUCCUGCCCUGGGCCUCUACUUCAAUCUGGCUAUUGUUAUAAUACGUAUAUCGAUUUUUAUACUGUAUUGAGUAAGCUUGUGGUUUGUACGUGUGUUUUUCUUUGCCUAGUGUUUGCUAGUUAAAUGGAAGGUAUGGCAUGGUAUGGCACACUGCAUAAAUAUUUUUAUCUAUAUUUUGUAAAUAUAUAUGCUAUAAAUUAUUAUAUUAUUCAAAUGUUUAUUUUUAAUUUAUAAAAUUUGUAUAAAAGUGGAUGAAAGCACUAAAGAAGCGUAACGAUAAACUUUAAAGCAGAAUUUUGUUAUGCGAUUAUGGUGGCGAUAUGAGAGAACUACUGUGGCAGAAUAUUACAAUCGUAGAACAGUUUUGCAUCAAAUCAUUCUAUAAUAUUGGUUUUUUGUUGCUUUAAAAUAUUAUGAAAUUCAAA